rfam:Rattus norvegicus chromosome 1, whole genome shotgun sequence.
GGGGAUUUAGCUCAGUGGUAGAGCGUUUGCUUAGCAAGUGCAAGGCCCUGGGUUCGGUCCCCAGCUCCG